rnacentral:rRNA from 1 species
UACGGGGGGGGCAAGCGUUGUUCGGAAUUACUGGGCGUAAAGGGCGCGUAGGUGGCCUGUUAAGUCGGGUGUGAAAACUCUGGGCUCAACCCAGAGCCUGCAUUCGAUACUGAUGGGCUAGAGUUCUGGAGGGGAAAGCGGAAUUCCUGGUGUAGCGGUGAAAUGCGUAGAUAUCAGGAGGAACACCGGUGGCGAAGGCGGCUUUCUGGACAGAAACUGACGCUGAGGAGCGAAAGCCAGGGGAGCAAACGGG